GUAGUCAGCGACCGGGACUCGAAUGCGAACAUAGAGUAAGUGAGACAGAGAGGGAAGAGAGAACCGAGGAAAAAAAGAUGACGAUAACACGCGCGCGCACUCGCGCUCCGUACCCACUCUUCGCAACGAGAGGUCCACUUUACACUCGAGAAAAUGCUGUUAACGAACUACUCUUCGAUUUUACUGAAUAUGGAUGGGAUCUUAUAAUUUAUUGGCGGAUUAAACCGACGAUUAUUCAGCCGGCUGGAUGCCUCCUGCAGGUUACUUUUGUUACUGUUUUUAAUUCGAGUUCGGGACGCGAUCUUUUGCUGUAUUAUACAUAUAUAUAUAUAUAUAUACAUAUAUACAUAUAUACGCACGUAUGUACAUGUACGUGCACGUAGAAAAAUUGAAAAGGGCUCCACCCAUUCUAAUCUGCAUGUGGUAUCUGGAUUUUUAGUUCGCCUGGUAAAAUGGUGCCUACUAAGAAAUACAACCGUAUAUCGUCCUUGUUGGUUUAAUUAACAGAAUAUGAACUGGAAUCUAAAAUCCGAUUACGCUCUAAUUGUGCUCGAUGUUUGUUAAUGUACUUAACUGAGACAGUAUAACGCACAAACACGUAUAGCAAUGCUAGUUACUACCUCACAACUGACUCUAGUGUGUAUACAGUUCUAAGCAGUCGGCUAUAUAUUUAUAACAUAAUUAGCAUUACGUUAUACCUACCGUUACGUAAUAAUUAGAAUUUAAAAACACGCCUUUUUCAUUCUCGACAAGUUGUCGCUGCAGAUUCCAAUUACGUUAAUCUUCUCAGUUUGCUUUCCUUUUGCAUUAUGCAAACGAUCGAACUGUGUUACAUUUUCCAUAUUAAUUUAUGCAUUAUAUAUUUUGAUUUAUACUAAACAGUAUAUUUAUAGGAUAUUUCGCAAACUAAUUUUCAAACCUAUUCAACCGAUAACUUUUCACUUUUAUUUUACAAUCGCCUUGCUAAUCUUUUACAUAACAAACUGACGAUUUAAAAGAUUCCGUUCGAAAGCAAUUGUACGAGAUAUCGUAGACACGAUUCUCUCGUUUUUUUUUCGUGGCAAUCUUAACGCCGCCAUUCACCAAUUUUAUCUUCUUUAUCAUAAUCGUUGUUGAUCAACGAUUUUGAUUCGUUGACGAAGCGUAUGAACUGCAAUGUUCAGAUGCAAUUAAACGAAAUUACUUAAGCCAAACGAUAUAAACAAUGGCUAUUCAUACCAUAAUACGAAUCCAAUGAUCGCAUAAUGGCGUGCCAUUUUAUCGGGCUUUUCGCGAUAAGGGAAUACGAGAUAACGGUCACAGGAGGCUUGGCAUCUAGAGUAGAUAGUUUGGUUAUUGACUGCGUUGCUGUCGUUACAGCGCGACGAACUGCGCGUGAUGAAACCUCAGAUUAUCCUCUACAGAUCACCACUGAUAAAUCCAUGUCGUUGAACUCUUUCUCACCACUUUUAAUUUUAUUGAUCGUACCGAUAGUAGAGAUAUUAUGCCGUAUUUUGUAAUACCUUGGCAACUUAAAUAGAAAAAUUAAUCCCCUUGAAAAACGAUAAAAGAAAAGAAAAAAGAAAGCCACGAUAAGAUAGUAUCACCUUAUCGAAAUAUUAAAUUAUGUGAUUACCGUAUCACUCGCGAUAGUAUGUAUCUUUUCGUCAUCUGUAACAUCGUACGCGAUGGUGAAAUCGAUUUUAUAUCUUGCGCUGUUAAAACGCGAUAAAAAAUCACGUAAUCUGUGGAAGUAACGUUUCACGUGUGCGCAUAAGUCAAAAAUAACCAGACACUGGUGAAAAUUCUCCAAAUUUCUAACUAACGAACACCGGGCUGUUUAUACAUAGGCGUUUUCAUUAGCUUGCUUCGACUAUUCUAAAAAGUGUUCCUAUCGUUUUUAACACGAUACAAGGAAUACAAGCGGCAUGAUUAUGCAUGCGCGCAGAUGCAUAUUUAUUCCGUUGCGACGAGUUUAAAAAAAGAAACGCAAUUGUAAAUUAUUUAUAAUAUUCGCCGCAAAGUUUUACACAAUGUACAAAUAUCGAGUAUCUACAAAGAAAUGACAUCACUCUGACAUCAUAGUACGACAUGACUUCGUAACGCAAAGCUUAGAUGCAGCGAUGCAGUCAGAGAAAAAAUUUUACCGGCAACGUUAUACAAUUCGUGCGAGCUGAAACGGAGAAAAAAUGAAUGACCGCAUAGUUUCGUUCGAAGGUAUAUUAGUUUCUACUAUUGCAACUCGAUCGGCACGGUCGAACCAAUAUUAUCAGCGAAAUUUAACGAGUCGCGAGUUACGAGCUAUCAGCACUAAUAAAUUCUCCUACGUAACAACAAUUUUGAUAAUAAAACAAAUGAAAUUGUACGUAUAAAUAUGGUAGAUUAUGAGUCAACCGAUUAUCCUAUUUGAUAUUAAUUUGUACGUUUUGCUAAAAUUCACAUACGGUUACUAUAAAAUCGACUAAAGUAUCCGGAUGCUUUGUAUAAGCAUCCGUGCAAGUGUGUCAAACAACCGGCCGCAAAUUUAGCCAAUUGGUAAUUUUAAUACGACCAGUUUGUCGAUAACACGGCCAUGUGCAAGGCUGCAAUAGUUCACCGUUAAUCUCUCGAAACACAUGAAACGCGUCGAAUAUCUAUUUACAGACAAGGGACAAAUAACUUUGUCAGUCUACUCGAUGAUACGAUUUUAUCCAUUAACCCUUGCACGUUCUGUGUCAGCGAAAGAUUUACAUAAUUACUUUCCCGAGUAUGCUCGUGCGACAAUUUUGCAUGGCACGUUGCAUAUUGAUGGUACGCACACUUACAAAAAUAUCGUGUGUAUAAUAGCGACAAGUAUCAGCCGCACUAGGCUACCAUAUUUCAUAGGGGCGACUGAUAGGGCGACUUUAUCUAGCGCGACGCGCUGCAAAAUUAUUUCCGCUUCGCCGAGACACGCGGUAGACGUGUCUGGCUCGAUGACGCCUUCUUUAAUAUGCUUUAAUUUCUAAUUUGUCUGCACAGCGUCACGAGCGCAGUGAAAUGCAAUUAUGUGGAUGUACGAUCGGAUAGAUGCGUCUCUUGUUACCAUCGAACGUUAUGUAAUACUGCGAGAUUACUGAAAAACAUGUACGAUGACUCACGAUAAUAUUUGAACACUUAUGCAAACUUCCAGUGAAUAUAUUAUGCGUGUAAUACGAAAUAUUUUACAAUUUCAUUUCAUUCAGCUAUUUAAUGGGAUACGACAAUCAUCGUUAUUUUAGUAGAAAUUGAAAUGAUAUAUAACAAGGAAAUGUAUAUAAAUGUUACGAGGCAUUUAUCGUAAACAUACACUCCGCAAAGAUCAUCGAAAUAUUUGAAUAGUCAAUUAUCGAUCAUGUUGGUACGUAACGAUAUUUAGUGGAACUAUAUUUAGCGCUAUUUAUACGUUGACACUGUUUAUCCUAUGUAUUAGAUUUUUAUUAAGAAUAUGUUUGCAAGGAAUGUGUCGUAAUCUCUAAAUUCUGAUUGAUUUCAUAUUUUGAUAUAAUGUAAUAACGAUGGCCUCGUUACAGUGUCAGCGAUGUUUCAAAAAGUUUCGCAAAACGCACAUAAAACAUCCAUGAAUAUUUUCUAUAGCACGCGUUCGAAUAUCUUUGCGAGUCAAAUAGGUAAAGUUAGUUUAUGAGAUAAAAUUUCUAUUCAUAUAUACGAACUUGUAACAUAUGUAUAGGACAGAAAGAUAAACGUUCAAAAAGUAUACUUGCUAAUAAAAAUGAUUUUACAUAUCGCGCAUUACUAGAGUUUGCGGUAUCUGUAUCCUCGAUAAUCUACUUCGAGCGGAAGAUUUUUUCAAUAGGCGGCUGGUCACGUGAAUGAAUGUUAUGUUUACAAUCUUGCAAAACACUUGGUAUCAUUCAUAGAUUAUCACCGAUGAUACAAGAGCCGAGCAGUGCAAACGAGAAUUUUAACAGGGAGGGUCGUAAUUUCUUAAAUACUUAAUAUUUGAUGAUAUAAGUCGAGAAUAAAUAUCCGGACACACCUGGUACGUGUCAUAGGGUUAUCGCUGCAGAACCAUUACGUAACGGAAUUUAAAGAUUCCUUAACGGUGUGGUUUGUUACGCUGUUGGUAACGCGCAAAAACGCGACGAGCUAACCUUCUCUUUUCUUGCGCGGGAAAACAUCACGAAUCGUCGAUACCGUGAGGCGUAAUCAUGUACAUAAUAUUCCUCGUCUAUUAUUUCCCACGAAACUCUUGAAAUUCAUCAAGAAAUCAUCGUUAAAAGAUCCCCAGAAGUAAUAUUGUAAUUUGUAAUAAAACGUAAAAAACAUUUAUAACAAAUAAUAAAGAUUUUUAGAAUGAUUUACAAAUGCUCGCGAAUAUAUUCAGACACCUACCACAGAAUCUUUUUAUGAAUAUAUUAUAUGCAUUAUAUGCAUAUGAAACCAGUUCGAAAAUGUAUAUAGAGAUUACAAAACAUUUGUUACAAACAUGCAUUUAAUGAAGAAUUGGUAUACGGCAUAAAUAGUAAUCUUGAACGUGCAAUUCAUCUCGUUAAAUAUUGUGACUUAUUAAUACAUAUAACGAAUAUGUUGAUUGUUCAAAUAUCCUGACGAUCUUUACGAAGUGUAUGCUCUUUCAAUAAAUAUGUUAGAAUUUCUACGCGAUAAUCUUCGCGUCUCGUUACAGUGCUAAUGAGAUUUCAAAAUGCUUUGUACGAUAUGUACAUAAAAAGUUUCUAAGAUUGUUCAAAUACUUUCUUAAAUCACUCUGAAUACAUUUACUAAAGACUUUAACGGAUCUUAAAUUCAAGAAGCGUAUUAUAACCUAUAAUUAUCGGUUCGUGAAUUACGACGCUAUUCGUGGAGAUUUUUCUGGAAGCUACGGUUUUAUCGAAGCGAAUACAGGCACAGAGCGUGGAGGACGUAGUUUCUGCAUUUCACUAACAAUAAGUGCAAACGAAGCGGGUAGAUGCGAUCUCCGAUUAUUCCUAUCGAGUAACAAAGAGAGCGUUGUACUUUUCCGAGCGUAAGUUUGGCUUUGCCGGCGAGCUGCUUUACGUACUCGUUCGGGAGUCGUAUGUCUUGUGACGUCACUCGAGGCGCUGGCAACAUUGCGAAAGAUCAUGCGACGUUGUCAAGCCGCUCCAUGUGCCGGAAAUUCAAAGCCUCUUUCGCCUCUACGUAGAUUCGAAUAAAGUUCUUACUUGUUUCUUAAACCUUCGACGUCGACAAUAAAAACUUUUACGUAUAAUACUCGAACGUAUGAAUUUUCCAUGUUUCUCAAUCCGUUCGACCGAUUCGAGAAACGUACGCUAGAUCAAGGGGAAACUUUCGUCGUAGUUCAUAAUGGAAGGAGUACCUUUAGUGCGGGUUCGAUCGUAAAGAGCAGCACGUUGCUCAGAGUGGAUAAUAUCAUUCUGUCACGUCACAGUGUACGCUGGCCAGAGAAAAUCAAUCCGGCGCUUCUCUACUAACCUUUUGCCUGAACAGCGCCACACUCGCUACUAUCCACCUUAAAAACACUCUGUUCUUCAAGGGUCCGUUGCGAUAUUGACCCGAGGUUGCGUUAGGUUAUUUCUGUCGAGGUUCAUGUACCUUUUCAGGUGAAAUGUUGGAAUUUUUGUGAAUGCACUUUCAGGCUUGCUCUUUAUAGUAUGUAUUAGACGCAUUCAGGAGAUAAUGUUAUAUCAUAGAUCGACUUCGCCCGUGUCCUUGACCUCAUUGGUAGUUCAAACGGUUAAACGUCGCGUACAAUAUCGUGGUAUGUACAUGUUGUUUACUCGCUCUGGCUAUUAUAGCUUUGUAGUCAUUUCAUUUCGAAAUAAAUAGUUGAAAGAAACGUUCUGUAAAUUAGUACAAUGUAUGAAAUUAAGUUGAUAUUCUAAUGCCAUGCCAAUUUCUCGAGAUUUAGUUUGUAUAGUAUAUAAUAUAUCUAUAAAAUGUACAACUGUCGUUUAAUUAUUAUUAUUAUUCUGUUUAAAUGUGUAUUAUGUCUUUUUGUUAUUUUCGUAAAUUAGUGUUCUUGGAGCAGUAUAUCUUCAAGAAACAAUAAGAAAAUGAAUGUAUUCAACUUUUAUAGAACUACGAUUAUAUACUUUUCAAAGAUUUAAACAUUUUUAUAUCAGUACAAUUUUCUUAUGUUACAUUCGAAAUGUAAAUUUCUAAACAAAAGACAAUACAAUAUAAAAAACAUACGUUCGAUAUCUUUUUUUUAUCAACGGAUCGCGUGACAAAGAAUCGUCAGAAAUACGAGCGAUCCUUUAAAUCAACCCCCUGUGCUGUGUUUACCGUUCGAAAUGGACCAAGGGAAGAGGAUAUGCGCGCGAUAUACGACCUAAUUCAGUACCCUACUGAUAACGAUGACGUCACGAUAGCUCGUCUACUUGUUACUAGUCACGGACGGUACGUGACACGAGACCAAACUGUAGAGAUGAGCAGGAUGAUAAUGGUGUUACUCUACAUUACGUUAUGCGUUACACUAUUCCUCGUGACACAACACGCGGUGGUUUAUUCAAUUCUCUCGCGAAUAUUUUAUUAUUCAUCCGAUCCAUUUGCUACGAACGUGAUAUUGACUAAUGUCGAAUAUUUACGCUUUGCUAUUCCUAUCGUUACAUUAUGUAUUUUACCUUCGGUUUAUGUGCCAGAAUUUUACUUUUCAAAGCGAUAAGCUAGACUAACUAGCAUGGUAUCGAUUCGAGUCGAAGACACGCGAAACGUGAGAAAAUGAAAGUAGCAGCGGGUCGCUUUUAGAUCGAUCAGCCAGCGGCAGCAGCAGCAGCAGCAGCAAGCAAGAGCCGCCAAGGGAACGGGGAGACCAGUUGUCGUCUUUCCAUCGUCGCGUCGUCCUUUCGUCGGCAUCACGAGAUUGCGCGAUGAUGUCAUGUAUUCGGCCGAGUUUACGCGUGUUUGUAAACAGGCAGAGGGAAUGAGAGAAAUAACCCAGAAAGCCGAACAAAGAGGGAGGAGAGAAGUGGGAGUAAACGUGUUGAGGACGCGAACGAAAAAGGUGGCGGGGAAGGGGUAAGGAGAGGGAGGAGAGCGAGGGGAAAAAUUGCCUUGUGUCAGGCACCUUGCUGUUCCGACUGCGCAGCAUCUCUCCGCUCGUCUCUCGUACGCCUUCGUCGAGGCUUCCUACGCAGCGUUGCUCAUCUCGUUUUCUCGUACACGAGCGUGACGUCAUGCUGCAAGUUGCACAGGAGUAACCGACCGUGGGAAGGGGACCAGGGGGGAGUAGUUACGUGGGGAUACAAAACGAGCGAACUCUGGCGCGCGCGCGCGCACCAGAGAGCCGCAGCGUCGAUGGAUUUGCUGUUAGCUGUAUGCAGCGGGCUGCAUGCAGAAUACACACGCGGUGACAUCGUCGUAUGCAGUCGUUGGUUAGCUGCUUUCUCCCUUUACCCCCCUAUCUUCGUCUACCUAACCUCUUGACGAAGCAUAACCGGUUCCGCGCCGCGUGCAAACUCCUUCCCAUCCCCCUGGCCUGCGACUGUCUCUUUCUUUCUUCCCCCAGUUUUCUUCCUUUCCGUGCAAACCCUAUCUCUCUUCCGAGCCGUUCCGCCCUCCCUCACUCGCUCGCUCCUUCUCGCUUUUCUUUCUCGCGUUUCAUUCUCGCUUCCACCCAUUUUCAAUACCAUGCUCGAACCACGGAACCGGACCGAGUUAACCCUACUAUGUAGCAACUUGGUCCUGCAUUUUACGCGCUUUUCUCUCGUUCUCUUUCGUCACUGAUGCACACACACCUCGCAUGUGUACGAACUUCAGCUUGGCGGGCGAUUCUCGCGGUCAUCCAGCGGGACGUGCUACUUUAUGCUAUAGUUUCUAUCUUUUUCUUUCUCUCUGUCUCUUGCUCGUGCUACGCGAUUCGACGUGCAGUGUGCUUCGCCACGCUACAGUUGCUGCCUCGGUCAAUAUCACAUCGUAUUCUGGGUACGCGCAGUGCGCGUUAAUGCCACACGGCUCGCGGUUUCGUUUUUAAGAUAGGUUAGAUCAGCCAGGUCACACACCUGUUAUAUACAUAGCGUAUACACAUGGCUUUCCUUUACCAUGAAAUUUACAGCACCAUUUAUGGAACGAUAGGAAUUCAUCCAUUGACGACUCAACUGAGAAAUAUUUCCAUUACUUUUUUUAUUAUAACCCUCGUGUUUCAUCGAAAUUUAAGCGCGAUUGGCGACAAAGCCAUGAAAAAGAUUGGGUUGAUUUCUGUGCAUUCUUGGUUCACAUUGGCCUCGUAACUCAGUCUGUUCCUUUCGACCAGGGUAUGUAAUAGCUAUCGCAAAGGCGAUGGCAUGGCGGGGCAAUGCCACGAAGGAGACGAUGGUCUGAGUCUGAGCGCAUAUUGCACCGGACGGUUAAUGGCGUGAUGGCGUGACAUCGAUGCACACGCACGCCGCGAGGUGGGGCGAACGGAACAGAACGAAACGGAACGAAGCGAAAUGAAACGACCGGAACGCGAUGUCGCGUGUCCUAUGCUGCACUCGCGUGUGUCGCAAGUAUUACACGCGAUCUCUUGGCUAAAUGCUUUAGCGCACGAAUAUAUGUACUCGUACAUCGUUUUGCUUCUGCGUCUCUGCUUCUAAUCCUUAACCCUUUAACUCUUCUCUCGUGGCUGAUACUGUUACAGGUGGCUAUUACUUUAUGGUUGCGCAAGAUUAGACGAGUUUAUCGUUGCACGACAAAACCAUAUAAAUCUCGCCACGACGGAAAAAGGGUGUACGACCAAUACAGGCCGCAUUUUGUUUUCUCGGCAAUGCGAAACGUAUUGCGAUUCCAUCUUUUAUGCCGGCACGUUGAUUAACGUACGUACGAAGAAAAAAGUCGACGUGUGAAAAAUGAAUAUUCUUAAUUUCCGUGUAAUACACGUUGUGCAGCCUCGCGUAUCCUCCGAAGAGAAAAUGUACUUGUCGGACUUGUGAACUUGGAUGGAACGCUGUGUAUGCGUUUACGUGUUCUUUUGUCAGGGCUCGUGAGAAAGCGUUCCACAAUGACACGGUCAUACUCAUACUUCUUGCGGAAAGGAAUGAGUUAGCAGCAGGCCGAAUGCCAGGAUGUUCACGAAAUGCUUUAUAUUUAUAUACGUUCUUCGCGUUGAUGUCUUUAUUUUAUUAAGUUGUUGCAAUUGUUUGCUCGCAUAUCGUGCACGUAGUUCAAAAGAAAUUAAAAAUUAAAUUUUAUUGCAUAUACAUAUAUUUAUGUAGAAUAAUAAUAAAAUAGAAUAAAAAAGAAUAAAUAAGUAAAAAUAACAAAUAAAUAAAUACAUAAAAACGCAAAUUAAACAGAAAUAGUACGUAUUCUAAAACGAAGUAACUUAACCUAACGUACGACCGACGACUACGACCUAACGUUACUAAUUGAGGUUAAAAGACUGCAUUCUUCCUACGUCGUACAGCCAAUUUUAAUCGACCAACCGAAUAUAAAAAUAAUACAAUGUACCUUUACAACCGCUCCAUCAAUCACACUUUGACUGUUUCGAAAACACCAUAUCCCCGGACGUAUACCACGUGUAACUUCCACAGACGUCGAACUUGGGGCGUGCAGUGCACAGCUGUACAAAGAACGAUCCGCCAUGGAACUCGAUCAUUUUCUUAUUAGCGGGCCGAGGAAGCGGCCCCGACGCGAAAUUUCAAUAGUCAACGGACCGAUUAUCCGCGGCUGGAUCUUCAUCAGAUAGCCGUCGAAACGAGAAAAAGAAAAAAGGAAACGAAGAGAACGUUAGUUCGGUUUGCACCCUCCUCUCUUUGUUUCGAUACACGGCGCGCUGUUAAAGCCGCUCGGAGAAGAAACACCUGACGACGUCAGGCGGAGAGUACCUACGUGCAUACCUGUGGCAGGUGAAUCGAGUCAGGUGCCCGAGCAGAUGGGUGUCUCUACUCGAGAAAGCGUUAUAAAAGCGGUCUAUCUCAUAAAUGUGGGUUACCAGCUAGAACUAACGCCCGUCGUUAGAGCAACAUCGCGAUUUUGCAGGUUGCCUCUGUAACUGAUGUUAUUCUAUAAAUGGUACCUUGAAGCCAUAACGUGUUUUUCCUCGGCUCUUUAAAAUUUAAAUGACGGUAAAUGUCAGGGAUGAUAUGUAAAACGAAGAAGCGUGUUGUUAAUUCUUCAAAUGAUAGGGUAUAUCUAUAAAAAUUUCUUUGGAUUUCAAGACCGUUGAUUCGUAAGAUUUUUCACUUACGCAACGAAUGAUGAAAAAUGGAGCAACGCGAGAGUUUUAAUAUUGACAACAUGCCAAGUUAGACGAUCAUAGUAAAUAGUUUUUAUGCGAUAAAAUACGAAUAUUUAAUUCUGCAUGUGUUAGUAGCUAUUUACCUUUUGUGUGAAUUAUUUAGAGUAGGUACUAGAUUACUUUUUAAUAGCGUCAUGAUUUCCAUGAUUCUAUGGGUGUACAGUCGCCCCGAAAAGUAAGUUAACGAUCUUACAUUUAAACUACGUAUAGCGCCAGUUAAAAAAAUUUGAAAUCGCCUAGAAUUUUCGUAUACUUCAUCAUCGAUCGAACAGCGUUCCUUUCUUAGUUCGAACGUGAAACUCAAUGAAAUACACCGAUUUUCUAAGACGUUUUAAUGGGCAGUAAAACAGGAAACGCUGUUUCACAUCUGUCGGCGGUAAACAGUGAGAUUCGAACGUCCUUCGAGGCGUUCUCGUCAAGCGAAGGGGUAUAACGAGCGGAUCUUUUCUUCUUUCUUCCUUCUUUUUUUUUUUUUCUUCUUUUUUCCAUAGACACGUGUCGUGUGCAGUGCACACGUAGUAUGCAUCUUUGGUGUACGCAGUCGCGCGGACAAGAAACUAUGUGCAGUCACGUGUAAGAGUGGAAUAGCAAAAACGUGAUGCGAUUAUGCAUUCUUUCUACGUCGUCAUUUCUCACUUGGUACGAGCCGGGCCUCGUGUGUAGAUAUACAUACUUAUUAACCUAACGUUUUAUGGUAAUUUUAUUAAACGCUUCUUUUUUACGGCAGACGUCACCGGAUUUCCAGCGACUACAAACAUCGUCGAUCAAUAUUCGUCGAUCGCGAGAUCGACCAUGAUAUUGUUAAACCGCAAAUACUUAACGUGUAUAUCGGUCUCGAGCAAGUUUCCUAUCGAAUGCAGGUAAAAAGAUAAGAGCUUGAAGUAAUCAGUGAUCAUUCAAUUAAUUUGCUAUUUUUACUUGAAAAGUAAUUCACGCUUAAUUUAAUUUCAUUUUGUAUCAAGAUAAUUAUACGCAGAUCAUUUUCAAGCAAUUUAACUAUUCCAAAUAAUAUAACAAAUAAUUUGGCUUUUAAUAUCAUGCAUGCAAUAAUUGCAUGAAGCUUAGACAAACUUUAUGCGGAAUAAAAAUAAGAAACAACGAUACGAUGAAAUAAUUGUCGUUUUAAUUGCUCAAGGAUUUUUGUUUUAUGUUAUGAAAUAAAAAUAUGUUACAGUUACGCUGUUUAAUAUAAAUAACACCGAGGAUGUAAUUUCAUCUUGUUAAUUGCGUGUACGAUUUCAAAAAUAGGUUACAGGAUAUCAAUGGAAUUCUUCCAAAUUGAAAUCUUUUAAGAUAAAUUGAAAAUUUAUUUUGAAUCCUUCAAACGGAACUCUGCUCUCACCUUCCCCAUUAUGCGACAAUUCUUAUUAUACAUUUCUAGACAGAUUUAUCGAUUUUAUAAAAUACGUCACGUCGAAACAGCCUUGAAUAUGAUCAAAUGUUUGAAAUAAUUUUCCUAAAGGAGCAAAUAUAGUAAUUUGUGGUCUUGCCUGAAUAAUUUUAGUUAACAGGUAUUUUUAUCACCCCUUGUGUACUUGUUUGUAUUUAAUUCUAUUAUGAACCUCGAUGCUUUCUCCACGCAAUUGCGUUGUCGUUUUAUUAGAAGAUGCCUUGAUUUGGAAAAACGAACUGUUACAUAAAGCGAGAACAAAGAAACUCGUUUGUAACGUGUAAAAGAGAAGGUUGUAAAUUAUAUACAGAAAAAACGAAGAAAUUGUUUAAAGAAUGUAUUUUUAACGAAAAUUAUUUCAAGACCGUGUUACGUAGUUCAUGUACAACAUCAGCAAUAAAAGAAGGGCACUUUUAUUAAUAGAAGAUAAAAAUAAUCUCAAUACCUUAAUAUUUAAAAAAAGAACUAACUACGAAUUGGCGUCGUUAUUUUUUAAUUUUAUUCCAUUUAAUUUCAGGAACAAAAUCAAUCACUUAUAAUGAAUUUCCAAACGAUCCACACAGACAAUGAUAUUCUUUUAUACUAUACCAAGAUCCUUUAUUAAUAGACUGUUAUUCUUUAUUAUUAAGUUAAGGAAACUUAUUUUUAUGAAGAGGUAUUUUAAAAUUGCGACGAUAAUGUUUACAACGAAUUUAUAUAAACGAUACUACGAUAUCUUCUUCAAUGUUCUAUAUUUCUCCGAAUAUUAAGUUAAUAAUGAAACACAAUACAAAAGAAAGGGAAAUACAAUUAAGAUUCGUAAUAAUUAAUAAAUUAACUAUUUCAUUUCUAUUACGAUAAUAAGUAUUGCAAAGGUGAGAUGUUAAGUUUAUAAACAUUAUAGACGAUUUAAAAACUCCGCUAUUUAUGAAAAAUCUUCUUCUACUAUAAUGUUAAAAGUUCAAAAAAAAGUUUAAAGUUUAGCCAUCGAUUUUUUUCAAGUUGACGACAUUUCAUCCAUAAUUCCCCUAUAAAUGUAUCGAGAGAUAAAAUAUUCGUUUAACAUUGCUGUUGAAAACCACUUGUAAUCGUUAAAUGAACCUGGUUUCGUGUCCACCGAAAAUGUCGAUCGAUUGAAAAAUUUCAGCGAUAAUAAACACGCACACACGCACACACGAAACGAUAACGGUCAAAAGUAACAGCUGCGAGAACGUUCGAUUAGACGUGCCGAUGGAAAAAGCAGGAAGAGAUUACAGCAAACAAGAUUUUAUCGUUUCAAAUCACAGCUGCCUUCGAAUCAAUCGCUGCCAGCUAUUCCUCCAAUGCCACUUGCGCAAAUUUUGCAAAGUCGAGUGACGGUUGGCGAUGUUUGAAAAAUAUUUUUUUCACGAGUUUAUUACUUCACCUUUUUUUUUCUCCACGAGUGUUGUUACGUCCCUUAACCUUACCAUAAACUAUAGUCCAUCCUCGUACAAUCUGUACAAAUACAUCAACUCGGACCCUUAAUAACCUUAAGGAACCGUAAUAAAAUUUAACUUUUACCCUUCUGUCAAGGCCUUUAAUUGCUACAAACAUCUUCCAAGUCGAAACGUUCUUUAGAGUUAUUACUCAUUAAGGCAAAACAUGCGAAAAGCAACUUUUCCCACGUACAAUAUUCGGCGGCCACCUCUACCCGUGAGCGGUCGCUUGGUCGAUUGGUGGGGGGCGGACAGCACCCAUCACUAGUUUCGUAAAAUAUGGCCGUCACAGAAUAUAUAUCUCAACUUGCUCUAACCUCUUCGCUGAAAACACUUCUACACGCAUCACUUAUAUUCUUCAAAGCUGUUGGAAAGAGAAUAUUUAAUCUGCUAACUCAGUGUUAUAAUUGUUCAAGCACUCCUAUUAUCUUAACCGAAAUAGAGGAUCGGCUGGUUCGUGGCGUCGAUCAUCGUAUCGUAACGAGAAUUUACGACUGUAGUUGGCGCGUUAUAAUGUGAACGCGUCUCUCCGCGAAGCGGUCGAACAAGUAUGAUUUGUUGUCAGACGACGUACACCGAUAGCCUUCCCUAAAAUUAUCAGUCUUUUGUAUAUAUUUUUCAACUAUCCGUAUAUUUAUACAUAUGAACAAAGAAACACGUAAAACGCCGUGAUGUGUAAUCGUUGCUAUGUAAGAAAUUAUUAUAUACGUUGUUGUUGAUUAUACGAUAACUGCAGCGUUUCAUGAAACUAUUCCAACACUUGGCACGGAAUUUUUGUACCGACAUAUUACGUGCAUUUAUACGGAUUUUUGUUGAAAUUUCGUCGGCGUUCUAACGAGACACGACUAUCGGCGAUUAUAAUAAAGAAGCGAAAGAAAAAAGAAAUCGCCUUUGAUGAUAUUCUGACACCGAUCUGUUAAAAACAUCGAGGCAAGGAAAGUUACACAGCUUGGGAUUUUUUUUCUUUCUUUUCGAAUCUUUCGAUAAAGAAAAUGUUGCGAAAUUUUCCAUAUCGUGUUUCUUACAAUUCGACUUCAAAAUUCUCGUAUAUUUAUCUGAUCUUACGUAAAGUUACAAAACCAUAGUUUUUCGCAAGUACGAUUUAUAAUAUUUAUAUUUUAGUUAAUCGUACAAAAUACGCUAUUGCGUUUGUAUUAUCGAACCUUAUCGAAUUCACAUGUCAAUUCAUUCAUAACACACGUCGUAUGUUUAUACAAAUUUUCCGUAGUAAACGUUGGAAUUCUUUCGUAAGUCGCUUUAGCUUUGUUUUUGCGAAUAAAAAGCUCGACCUGUAAUACCUCCCUCGGCGAAAUGCGCGCGAAACUCGUUUCGCUCGAAAGGGAAAAUAAUCGUGACGCGAUGGUUUCUCCGUUUCAGCAGUACGCCGGCUUUAACAGCUGUUAUUACAAGGAGAAAAGUUAUUCGUACACACACGCGACAGUGCCAUUUCGCGUGUACCGUCCUGACACAAUGGCAGUACGGUAGUUUAUCAGAAGGGUGACACAGGCCAAUGAGUGGUCGCCGGUGUCGCCAGUGUCGCGCGAAAAUGCAACUUUUCCUCUGCCAGAUAAAUAUUUAUGUCACCUCGAGACUCUCAAACCAUCGUUCAUCGUAAUCUGCGCCCGGAAGCGUGUACACCGACGAUCGAAAGUUUCGCGGUCGAGUUUCAGAAACGAUGAUAUCGCUUUCGAAGUGUAAGGCGAAAGAUCUGCCCAACCAGAAACUUUUAUACGUUACUGUAUAUACGUUUGAAACGAAGGGUCGUGAAUUUUUAAGUGACAAUGUACGUUUCCUUUUGGUUGCAACUUUACAUCUAAUGGAGACGAAAAAAUAAAAAAGGGAACGCACGGAUUUUAUCUAUUUGAAAUAUUCAUCGGUUUUUUGAGUAAGAAUAAUGAAGGAGAAGAAACGAAAGAUCGACGUGAUGAAUGAAAUAUAACGAUUUACUAAUUUGUCAUCGUUACGCCUAUAUCUGAUACUAUGUAUCCGUUCUUUCUUUACGCUGAUAGCUAACAUGUAUCAAAGAAUUAUAUUUCUAGUCGUAGGAAAUUUCCAAAGCUUAUCUAUGAUUUAUGUUUGUGUCAAUGAUAUACGUUUAUUGACUCGUCGUGGGUUGUACGUUUAUGUAUAGCCGAUAUAGAUACAGAUUACUGUACGUCAGAACAUGGAAUCGGAGGCUAUAGAGGUUGUUCAACUGCAAAUGUUCGAUUGUUAAUAAACUCCGCUCAUUUUUGCUGCUAUGAAUCUCCUCUACGUAGUUGGAAUAACAUUCCAGUUGGUCGCGUAUUUUUACGAUUAUAUUUUCACCGCAAAGCCACAAAAUCGGUUUAAAAUGGAUUUAAAAUCUUUCUUGUUAGUUGUUGAUACGUGUAACGUGAGUAUAAAAUGUACUUUGGACUCGUAUGAAGGCAAAUGUAUUUGCAAAACUCAUCUAGAUUUUUGCACAAAUCUAGAUUUAUGUAUUUAGUAUUUAGAAUUGAGACUCGUUUUAAUUUUGUCCCAAAAUUUAAAUUUCAUAUUCAACAAACUCACCGAAAAUGAUUUGAAUGCCAAAAAUAGCUUUUAACAUAGUACCAAAGCAAAAAAGGAAACAAGAAAAUAGUAAAUAAAUCCAAGCGAUAGCGAUAAAUUUGUAGGAAUUAGCAAAUUACUAGUAGUCCGAUAAAACAUAAAUGAACGUAAAAUUACAUUUAGUUACAACAAAGUUGCAUCAUAAUUCAUCGAAAAUUAAUUCGACAGCGAUGAAACGCAAGGUCGUACGAAUUAUUAUUUUCUGUAAUACGCCCGCGCUGCUUUCAACUAUAUACAACUAUCGACACUAGAAUUUGUCUUAUCUACCAUAUUUAUUCGUAUGAAAAAAUAAAAAUAAAAAAACAACAAUAUUACUAGAGUACUUGAGCACUCGACUAAUAUUCAAAGCUCUACUACCGGAAGACUUCUCAUUUAAUUCUAUUAUACAAAUUAUAAAAGAGUUUACCAUCUUCGAACGAUACGUAAGUAAACGAGACUACAAACAAAAAUUUAAUCCUUUCGUUGCCAAUGACCACUUUACCGUUAACACUAUCGAGACAACAAUCAAUCUCGCUGCCAUCUUAUCAAAUGUUUCAAGAUGUUCAACAUAAAAUUAAAACAAAAUAUCGUACGUACCACUGACCUUUUCUAUGUUUUGUUGAAACCGCGCGAAGAUACUUUUUAAGGUUAGAAAAAUGUAAUUGGGUUGAGAAUGACCAAAAGAACGUAGCAGGAUUAAAAACACGAGGAGAACAGAACGAGGUUAAAUAUACCAUAAAGUCGAUGCGCGCAGAAAAUUUAAAUCUAUCGCGAUAUAAUUUUUAUUUUGGGUCGCACAGACCUCUGGAGACAGGGCAGUGUUAAAUAUACCAUAAAACGUCGAUGCAUACACGUGUGUCGAUGCACGCGCCCAGUGAGAAGCGCGUGCAAAGAUCGCGCAGGUGUGAACGGGGCGCAACUGCGACGCGAUUACGAAUCGACGAAGAAAAAGCGGAAAGUGACGCGGCGUGCAACACGUAAACUGUAAACGAAACUUUUGUAUCGAUCGCUGCUAGAGAGUCACGUUGCCCUCGCAUGUCGAUACCGAUAUGUACCCCGUCACACCCCUCGUAUUAUGGACCAACGUUGUGUCGUCGUAGCCGGCGAGAUAAGCGGUUUAUCGCCGCGUAUUGCGAUACAUACCAUGCGCUGAGCGCGCAUGAGCGACCGUUCCGAUAGAAAGAUAGCCGUAAAGUAUAUGUAUGUAUAGUUACUUAUUUAGGUGCUACCUCGUCUUGCUUCGUUGUGUGCGAACACGUGACGUAGCCUCGAUCUCGUCUAGCUCGGUCGUGCGAUGAUAAACCGAUACACGUGUAGGUACGUCGUCGCUAGCGUUGGACUCAAGUACAUCGCAGGUACAUUAGGAUGCAUGAGUAUUUGGAUACUUUCAAACUAUUGGAAUUAUAUGAAACAUACUACAAACGAAGCGUGUUCUUUUAAUUUAACUUUCGCAUCUGAUCUUAUCUCAGGCAACUAUAUAUAGUAGAUAUUGAUAAAAACAACAGUUCUUACAGCAAUAUCGAUUAAUAUAAAUAAAAAAGUAAUAAUUGGAAGUGGAUGAAAAUUACUUGCAGGGAAACAUCUUAAGCGUAUCUGUAAUGAGAUCUCAGAAUGAUUGCGAUAUGUAAUUUUAAACACUUUUUGAAUUAUAGAUUUGAUGAAUAUAGAUUUCAUGAAGUGUCAGCUAUUUAUUAGAGAUAAAUAUGGAACUUGAUCGAUGCAGAUAUAUUUCUCGUUUCAGUCUCGAUUUAGCAGAACAUUUUCAUUCCACUUGUGGUAAAGAGUAGGAAAUUAAACGUAGAAAAAUGUUUUUCUGCCGCAACGUUGAUAAUAAGGAUAUCAAUCUUAUGAUUGGAUUGCACUAAGUGCACAAUUAUGUACUUAUACUUGUACUUAACAGAUUACGCCAUUUACCUGCCGUUUAUACUAAACGAGCACGAACGACGUGUUCUUGCUCUAUGUUCCUACUCGUUUGUUUUAAGCGCACCUUUAAUGCGAAUGCGGCAUUACUUAUGUUUUCUUCAUCGUGUUCAUUUCCCGAUAUUUUCAGAAUGCUUUCGGAUGCGCACGCUCGAGCUAACGCCUCUGGCGUUAUUCACUUGCAAUUACCCGUUCAGUUCUGAACCGUUACGGAAUUAUACGCGGUAACGGGAUUCGAUUCACUGGAGUAAGACUUGCUUAAUUUCCCUCUUGAAUAUAACUUACGAAUCUGGGCCAUCAGACAGCGAGCAUCUUUUCGAAGCUUAGAUGAUACCGCUUGGAUAUUCCAUUUUUCGAGAUCAGUGGACGAGCCGGCUGUUUCAUAAGCUCAACGGAAUAAAACCGAGGAUAUUUAGUUGAAAUUCAUCGCGUAUUUGUUAGGUUAUAUUAUAUAUUAUUUUAAUUAAUUGAAAAGACGUAUAGGUCAAGAAACAAUUUCGUUUAAAUGAAAAUUAUGCAUUUUUGAGCGGUUAGGUCGAAAAGGAAUCGUAUCUUAAGGGGUUAAGGCACACGUUUUAUUCACCCCUGGAAGAAACAGUCGAUGGAAUCGAUGUCGAUUGGUCGCGUAGCGAAGGAACGCCACGUACGUCGCGCGGCGAGUUCCGUAAUUGUGGAAUAUUUUGCAAUUCGUGGAUUGGAAGGCGCCUUUCUCGAAAGAGCGUUGCUGGCAAUGCCGGUCACGUAGGCCCGUAGUUCCGAGGGUGCCCCGAGCACGGCACAGAAUACUAGAAUACUAGCGGCGGGAAUGCGCGGCGAAUACCCGCAACGCGAGUAACCGCUCGUCCGCGAACCAACGAGCCAGCGAGCAAGCGAAUCGUAUGCCCCUCACGCUUCGACGCGCCACCGUAUAUACUUGUAUAUAUAUGUAUGUAUCUAUCCGCUUAAACGUGCCUAUGUACCCCUACGUAGUCGGCAUAAUUUCAACUUUUUCCGUCGCGGCGGAAGUUAGUGAAAAAUUAAGGAGCCCUCACGAAUUCGGGAUAAAGUAAUUUUGUAAUUUUUUGCUAUCGUCCGUGACGUUUCGUUCCGUCUGCCAUCCGCUUCCGUUUGCCGCCGCUGGGCUCAUCGGUUGUUUGAAUAUGUUCAUCAUUUGGAUGUAUACGUAUGGAGAAUCUUCUCUUAAUAUUUUUAAAAUUCUUAAGAUAGGUAGUUUUACUCUCCCCCCCCCCCCCCCUCUCUGUCUAUCUCUGUCUCUUUUUGUCUGUAACGAUUUUGAAAAGUAUGUACAAUUAGAAAAAUCACGAAACGUCAGUAACAUUAGUUGGAAGAUUUCAUUUUUCAUUUUAUAGGUACGCGAAUCUAUCGCAGAGAGAUUUCGAUUUUCAACUGAACGGACCAUUACCUCGCCCACGUCGCAAACGAUCGCCUCAAGUCUCGUGAUCGAGUAAAACCGGUUUGAAUGCGCCAGUGCCGUAACAACUUAUCAGCCGAUACUGGGAUUAGAGAAUAUUCCUGAAUUUGUAACAUAUUCGUUGUCUCUUUCGUUCAUAUAAACUAACAAAUAAUAUAUUUGUUAUAGAUGACUAAAUACAUGAAAUAAAAUAGAGAUUAAUAAAAAGAAAUACUAAUAAA